AUUGAACGCUGGCGGCAGGCCUAACACAUGCAAGUCGAGCGGAUGAAGGGAGCUUGCUCCUGGAUUCAGCGGCGGACGGGUGAGUAAUGCCUAGGAAUCUGCCUGGUAGUGGGGGAUAACGUCCGGAAACGGGCGCUAAUACCGCAUACGUCCUGAGGGAGAAAGUGGGGGAUUUUCGACCCCACGCUAUUAGGAUGACCCUAGGUCGGAUUACCAAGUUGGUGGGGUAAAGGCCUACCAAGGCGACGAUCCGUAACUGGUCUGAGAGGAUAAUCAGUCACACUGGAACUGAGACACGGUCCAGACUCCUACGGGAGGCAGCAGUGGGGAAUAUUGGACAAUGGGCGAAAGCCUGAUCCAGCCAUGCCGCGUGUGUGAAGAAGGUCUUCGGAUUGUAAAGCACUUUAAGUUGGGAGGAAGGGCAGUAAGUUAAUACCUUGCUGUUUUGACGUUACCAACAGAAUAAGCACCGGCUAACUUCGUG
rnacentral:rRNA from 1 species